rnacentral:lncRNA from 1 species
CCGAGGGUUGGGAGAGCGCGUUGGUGGCGACAGCCGAGUCAGGCUGUCUUUUGAAGAAGAUCAGAAUGGGGAAAGAGUUUUGUAAAUUAGCCAUUUAAAAACAAUCUGCCAUGUUGAUUUUGGUCCAUAAGAAGAUCACUAUAAACAAAAUUUCCACAAGAGAAAAUGUUGAAAUAGGAGUUGCGGAUACAUUGGAUAUACUGGAUGAAAUACAAGCGGUUAAUUUUUGUAACGUGAGGGAAAAGCCCACAUUGCUGGUUACAUGUGUAAAUCACUGCGUUAUUGCUUUAGUCAUUGUCUCUAUUUAGCAAUGACAAGACUGGAAGAAGUAAAUAGAGAAGUGAACAUGCAUUCUUCAGUGCGGUAUCUUGGCUAUUUAGCCAGAAUCAAUUUAUUAGUUGCUAUAUGCUUAGGUCUAUACGUAAGAUGGGAAAAAACAGCAAAUUCCUUAAUUUUGGUAAUUUUUAUUCUUGGUCUUUUUGUUCUUGGAAUCGCCAGCAUACUCUAUUACUAUUUUUCAAUGGAAGCAGCAAGUUUAAGUCUCUCCAAUCUUUGGUUUGGAUUCUUGCUUGGCCUCCUAUGUUUUCUUGAUAAUUCAUCCUUUAAAAAUGAUAUAAAAGAAGAAUCAACCAAAUAUUUGCUUCUAACAUCCAUAGUGUUAAGGAUAUUGUGCUCUCUGGUGGAGAGAAUUUCUGGUUAUGUCCGUCAUCGGCCCACUUUACUAACCACAGUUGAAUUUCUGGAGCUUGUUGGAUUUGCCAUUGCCAGCACAACUAUGUUGGUGGAGAAGUCUCUGAGUGUCAUUUUGCUUGUUGUAGCUCUGGCUAUGCUGAUUAUUGAUCUGAGAAUGAAAUCUUUCUUAGCUAUUCCAAACUUAGUUAUUUUUGCAGUUUUGUUAUUUUUUUCCUCAUUGGAAACUCCCAAAAAUCCGAUUGCUUUUGCGUGUUUUUUUAUUUGCCUGAUAACUGAUCCUUUCCUUGACAUUUAUUUUAGUGGACUUUCAGUAACUGAAAGAUGGAAACCCUUUUUGUACCGUGGAAGAAUUUGCAGAAGACUUUCAGUCGUUUUUGCUGGAAUGAUUGAGCUUACAUUUUUUAUUCUUUCAGCAUUCAAACUUAGAGACACUCACCUCUGGUAUUUUGUAAUACCUGGCUUUUCCAUUUUUGGAAUUUUCUGGAUGAUUUGUCAUAUUAUUUUUCUUUUAACUCUUUGGGGAUUCCAUACCAAAUUAAAUGACUGCCAUAAAGUAUAUUUUACUCACAGGACAGAUUACAAUAGCCUUGAUAGAAUCAUGGCAUCCAAAGGGAUGCGCCAUUUUUGCUUGAUUUCAGAGCAGUUGGUGUUCUUUAGUCUUCUUGCAACAGCGAUUUUGGGAGCAGUUUCCUGGCAGCCAACAAAUGGAAUUUUCUUGAGCAUGUUUCUAAUCGUUUUGCCAUUGGAAUCCAUGGCUCAUGGGCUCUUCCAUGAAUUGGGUAACUGUUUAGGAGGAACAUCUGUUGGAUAUGCUAUUGUGAUUCCCACCAA